CGGUCCUGUACAAAGUAGUAGCAUCCCAGAGCCCUGAGCCGUGCCUUUCCAAAGCGGACUGAAUGACGAGGCAGGAUGGCCGGGGGAAGGAGAGGACUUGUGGCCCCUCAAAACACGUUCCUGGAAAAUAUUGUUAGGCGGUCUAAUGUCUGGACAUUGUCACAUAGACAGACAGACACCAAUUUUGUACUGGGCAAUGCCCAGAUUGUAGACUGGCCCAUUGUUUACAGCAAUGAUGGAUUUUGCAAACUCUCUGGGUACCACAGAGCAGAGGUCAUGCAGAAGAGCAGCACUUGCAGCUUCAUGUAUGGAGAGCUCACAGACAAGGAAACGAGUGAGAAAGUGAGGCAAACCUUUGAGAACUACGAGAUGAACUCGUUUGAAAUCCUCAUGUACAAAAAAAACAGAACGCCCGUCUGGUUCUUUGUCAAAAUCGCUCCGAUUCGGAAUGAGCAGGAUAAAGUGGUGCUGUUCCUGUGUACCUUCAGUGACAUCACAGCUUUCAAACAGCCGAUUGAAGACGACUCUUCAAAAGGCUGGGGUAAAUUUGCACGCCUGACUAGAGCCCUGACAAGCAGCCGAGGGGUCCUUCAACAGCUGGCACCAACUGUUCACAAAGGAGAAAAUGUCCACAAGCAUUCCCGACUGGCUGAGGUUUUGCAACUUGGCUCUGAGAUUCUUCCACAGUACAAGCAAGAGACACCAAAGACACCCCCUCAUAUAAUCCUUCAUUAUUGCACCUUUAAAACCACCUGGGACUGGGUCAUCUUAAUUUUAACCUUCUACACUGCCAUCAUGGUCCCCUAUAAUGUAUCCUUUAAAACCAAGCAGAACAAUGUGGCAUGGCUGGUGGUCGACAGCAUUGUGGAUGUAAUAUUCUUGGUGGACAUUGUGCUCAAUUUCCACACCACCUUUGUGGGCCCGGCUGGAGAGGUCAUAUCGGACCCAAAGCUCAUUCGCAUGAACUACUUGAAGACCUGGUUUGUAAUCGACUUGCUUUCUUGUUUGCCCUACGAUGUCAUCAACGCCUUUGAGAAUGUGGAUGAGGGGAUCAGCAGUCUCUUCAGCUCCUUGAAGGUUGUAAGGCUGCUGCGACUGGGCAGAGUUGCCCGAAAGUUGGACCACUACAUCGAAUAUGGAGCAGCAGUUUUGGUGCUAUUGGUGUGUGUGUUUGGACUUGCUGCCCACUGGUUGGCUUGCAUUUGGUACAGCAUUGGGGACUAUGAAGUAAUUGACGAAGAAACCAAUACAGUCAGGACAGACAGCUGGCUUUAUAUGCUCGGGGAUUCUAUUGGAACGCCUUACAGGUUUAACCUCUCUGGGACUGGAAAAUGGGAAGGUGGACCAAGCAAAGACUCGGUAUACAUUUCCUCUUUAUAUUUCACAAUGACUAGCCUGACUAGCAUUGGAUUUGGUAACAUUGCCCCAACAACAGAUGGAGAGAAGAUCUUUGCUGUAGCCAUGAUGAUGAUUGGAUCUUUGCUGUAUGCGACCAUCUUUGGUAAUGUGACAACCAUCUUCCAGCAAAUGUAUGCCAACACCAACAGAUACCAUGAGAUGCUCAACAGUGUGCGAGACUUUCUGAAGCUCUACCAGGUUCCAAAAGGUCUAAGUGAGCGGGUCAUGGAUUAUAUUGUCUCCACAUGGUCCAUGUCCAGAGGCAUCGAUACUGAAAAGGUUUUACAGAUCUGCCCCAAGGAUAUGAGGGCCGAUAUUUGUGUACAUCUGAACCGCAAGGUGUUCAAAGAGCAUCCAGCAUUCCGACUUGCCAGCGAUGGCUGCCUGCGCGCUUUAGCCAUGGAGUUCCAGACCAUCCAUUGUGCUCCGGGGGACUUGAUUUACCAUGCGGGAGAAAGUGUGGACAGCCUUUGCUUUGUAGUAUCGGGGUCUUUGGAAGUAAUACAAGAUGAUGAAGUUGUUGCCAUCUUGGGAAAGGGAGAUGUGUUUGGCGAUGUUUUCUGGAAGGAAGUCACUUUGGCUCAAUCUUGCGCUAACGUCAGAGCUCUCACAUACUGUGACCUCCACGUCAUUAAAAGGGAUGCCUUACAGAAAGUGCUGGAGUUCUACACAGCCUUCUCCAACCACUUCUCUAGAAACCUGCUCCUGACGUAUAACCUGAGAAAACGGAUUGUCUUUCGGAAGAUUAGUGACGUGAAGCGGGAGGAAGAAGAGAGACUGAGAAGGAAGAACGAGGCCCCACUCAACCUCCCACCUGACCACCCAGUGCGGCGACUCUUUCAGCGGUUCAGACAACAGAAAGAGGCACGGCUGGCGGCUGAAAGGGCCAAAGACCAAGAUGAGCUAGAUGUGGAAAAAGGAAUGAUCCAUGUGGAACACGGAGUACCCAUCACCACCACCAGCAUCGUCACUGUCACUGAAAGCCCCGCCACGCCCGUCCCUUCCAUAUCAGCAAAUGGCGCCUCUACUUCAGGGGUAUCUGAUCGAGCAAGGCUGGCAGCACCUACAACCCACACGGCUAGCAAAGUUGCAGAGUCCUCCAAGGCGAAAGGCUGGAGCAAAUUCAGAGAUUCUGUGGGAAAGGCGGACAACUGGAACAAGGUUUCUAAAGCUGAAUCCAUGGAAAUUUUACCAGAAAGAACUAAAGCUCACGAGGAGACUUCCUUAAAGAAAACCGAUUCAUGUGAUAGUGGUAUCACAAAAAGUGACUUGCGCUUAGAUAAUGUUGGAGAGGUACGGAGCCCCCAGGAUCGCAGUCCUGUUCAAGCGGAGGUCAAACACACAUUUUAUCCAAUUCCAGAGCAAACGAUUCAGGCUUCGAUUCUCGAGUUUAAACAUGAACUGAAGGAGGACAUAAAAAGCUUGAACAGCAGAAUGGAGAUCCUGGAAAACCAAGUCGCUGAAAUCCUUAUAAUAUUAAAGUCUAGGAAAUCGCUGAACUCACCACAGAACAUGUUUGAAAUCUCAAGACCAGCAUCUCCAGAAUCAGAGAAAGAGGACAUUUUUUCAUAAUCUUUUUGUGCUUUGAAAUGAGACUAAAGUCAACACUGAAAGGAGUGCAUGGACUAUGUGAUGAAACCACAUUGUAUCAGUAAUACAGUGAGUGGGCUGUUUUCAGAAAACGACGUGAAACUGAAUGUGGCUCAACCGGCAACAACCAUCACUUAGGAGAGCCUCUAAAGAAAGACGGUUGCUCUCAACAUCACAGAAAGCAACGUAAGAGAACGCCAUCAAGUCAAUGACAACUUAAAGUGUUUUACUUUGAAUGCUAAAUGACAAUCUCAGGGCCUAUUAGCUGAGCUGAAAAUGACGCCUGAAAUGAGAAGGCAAGAUGGACCAAUUGUUGCUUUUGGGUAUUUAAAGAUCAUGAGUAAAAUAAUAUCACCAGGUUCAGAUGAGAAGGCAGAAUGUCGGUGAGAGUACCAGACCUUGCCAGUAUGAAGUACGCCAAGAGCACAGUACUGGGGUGUGCCCUCCAGAGGUUAGAGAUGGAGAACGCAGAACAAGAGCGACUCUUAUGCUACACCCCCUCUGACAGGACAUGAUGUCAUGCGGUGUCAGGAAGGUGAUAAUGCACACCCUAAGUGCCGAAUCACAUGUGUUGUGGUGGUGUAAACAUCCAGUUGAUCACCACGAGUCUGAAUAUCAAAGCUUCUGUACAGGUCAUGGGCAGCCCACGUGGGACAGCAUCUUACUAACACCAAGGGGGCUACCCAGAUUAGCAGGCAGCUUACAGAAAAGACUGAAUGAAAUAGAGAAUUACUGCAAAAUCUGUGAAGAGGCUUACAGUAAGCAUGUCACAAAAAUGUCACCUUAUUAGGGGGGAUCAAGCGGUCAUUUACUACAUUCGUUAGAAACUGAACUUUAUAUUUCUUUAUAAGAACUGAACUACAUUUACUGGUCAUAAAGAGGAGGCAGCUUUAAUUUUCUAAUUCUAAUUUUCUAAUUUGUUGCAAUAUCCAGGGGCCAUUGAGCCAAGGGUCUUAAGUAUGCCAUUGAGAUCUGUGAGGGUUAUUCCAAACACAAUAUUUUAUUUAAAAUGGAUAUUUGAUGAAGCUACACAAACCAGCUGACUGGGUGACCCUGACAGGGAGAUGAGAACACACAUGUAGCAGAUGACACAGGCAGGCUAUUUAGGCAGUGCUGAUGUGCCCUGUUUGGUGAUGAUCAAUAUAUGGCCUGGGGUCACUGUCAGCUAUGGAGAGGUUUCCCAAACUGAUGAUGCUUUGCAAGUAACCUCUGCAGUACUUUUGUGCUAUUUUCUAUUCAUGCUGUGACAGCAAAAAUUUGUACCCAUUUUUGGAGCUUGCAUGCUCAUAUGCUGGGAACCUUGAACUGUAAAGAAAGCAUAAAAGUCGGACACCUGCACUGAACAUCAGGGCUAACCUUUGGGCAUAUGCAAGAUGUUGCUCCUGCCUGUGCUGAGAACAAAAUGCCUUUGAGCACUUUCUCUCAAAGUUGGACAAGCACAGAUUGUAGGAGACCUUGACCACAUCACGGCUCUCCUUCGACUAUUAUACUAUUGUGAG